GACGAACGCUGGCGGCGUGCUUAACACAUGCAAGUCGAACGGAAAGGCCCUGCUUGCAGGGUGCUCGAGUGGCGAACGGGUGAGUAACACGUGGGUGAUCUGCCCCUUACUUUGGGAUAAGCCUGGGAAACUGGGUCUAAUACUGGAUAGGACCAUGCUGUAGGUGGUGUGGUGGAAAGAUUAGUUUCGGUAAGGGAUGAGCUCGCGGCCUAUCAGCUUGUUGGUGGGGUAAUGGCCUACCAAGGCGUCGACGGGUAGCCGGCCUGAGAGGGUGGACGGCCACAUUGGGACUGAGAUACGGACCAGACUCCUACGGGAGGCAGCAGUGGGGAAUAUUGCACAAUGGGCGCAAGCCUGAUGCAGCGACGCCGCGUGGGGGAUGACGGCCUUCGGGUUGUAAACUCCUUUCAGCCAUGACGAAGCCCUUGUGGUGACGGUAGUGGUAGAAGAAGCACCGGCUAACUACGUG
rnacentral:rRNA from 1 species